CUCAUACCCUUGGGGUAUUCUCGGUAGACACCUAUACAAAAGCACUGCCCAAGAAUUUUAACUCCCCCACGUCACAUCAAAAAGUGGUACAUGGACCCAUCAAAAUAAAAGUCAAGCUGACAAUAUGAGGUAUAGGUACAGUCUUCCAAAUUGAAAUAAAUACAUCCACAAAAGAAAGACAUCUAGCUCCUAUACAACCAUCUAAUCUAAUCAUGCUACAAAAAAACUAUGUAACCCGGGUGAUCUCCACGCUCUCUGCAAAAUCCUCCUGACACAUCUUCGGUCAGGUAUGUCUAACUACAUUCCCUUCUCUAGGGUACUAACUGGUAAGAUGAUCCUGGUUCUCAUCUAAGGGCAAAGCCCAGAUUCCCACAAUAAUUGUAAAGGGUCACCAACCGAAAUUAACAAAGAUCACAUAGCAUUUAAAAUUUUAAUGCACAAAAUAACCUUUCAACCUAGCAUACUCUUUGAAAGGGUUUUCAUAUGUCAAACAUGCAUAAACAAGUUGAAAAAUGAAGUUUUUAACAAAACUGCACUAUCGUAUUCGAAUACAACAUCCUUGUAUUCGAAUACAUUGCUAUUUUGUAAGUCAGUAGCAAAAUCAGGACAACUGUAUUCGACUACAACUUCAUUGUAUUCGAAUACAAUGUUGUUUCAGAAGUUAGUAGCAAAAUUAGGACAACUGUAUUCGACUACAACCUCAUUGUAUUCGAAUACAAUGUUGUUUUAGAGGUCAGUAGAAAAAUCAGGACAACUGUAUUAGACUACAACCUCAUUGUAUUCGAAUUCAAUGUUUUUUCAGAAGUCAGUAGCAAAAUCAAGACAACUGUAUUCGACUACAACCUUAUUGUAUUCGAAUACAACUGCAGAAAAAUGCAGAAUUAAGUUUCGAAAUGGUUUCGCAAUUAAUCAACACUUACAACACAAAUCCAAACAAUCACUAUUAGCAAUUUUGGCACAAUCACAACAACAACAACUAAGUAUACAUAUACAAUAAUCACAAUAUAUCAAACAUGACUCGCGUGCCAAGUACCCUUAUGCAAUACAUAUAUGCCAAAAUGCAUGAAUUCAGAAUUCCAACCAAAACUCUUCCUGAGAGGCGUAAAUCAUAAGUGUACAGUCUCUCAUAGACCAGUACUAAUUACCAAGGUGCCACCUAUCACAUGCCCGCACAAUUUAUUAAAAUGUAGCCUAUCACAGGUCUUACACCACAACUCCAAACAAAACCCUCCGCGAGGAGCGUAAAUCCUAAACGAACAGUUCCUCCAAAAAAAUACGAGUGUAGUCUCUCAAGGACAAACACGAUUUACUAGGGUGUAGUCUCUCACAGACAAACACGAUUUACUAGGGUGUAGUCUCUCACGGACAAACACGAUUUACUAGGGUGUAGUCUUUCACGGACAAACACCAGUGCAGUCUCUCACGGACAAACACGAUUUACUAGGGUGUAGUCUCUCAUGGACAAACAUCAAAGCAGUCUCUCACGGACAAACCCGAUUUACUAGGGUGUAGUCUCUCACGGACAAACACCAGUGCAGUCUCUCACGGAUAAACACGAUUUACUAGGGUGUAGUCUCUCACGGACAAACACCAUUGGUAAUUCCUCGUAAGGAUAAGAGAAACCAAUCAACUCAUAGGACCAUUAUGUAGCCCAUCGCGGUCACUACUUAACAUCGUGGCCCAUCGCGGUCACCACUUAAGCAUCACACAUAAUCACACAACAAUUAUUCAUAAUAUCAAUUGUGAGCACAUAAACACAUCCAAAUUAAUCUCCACAAAUUCACUCAUUAACCACUUCAAAUUUAAUUCAAAAAUUCACCCAUCAAUUUCAAUUUUCACAAUUCCACCAAAUUUAGUACGCAAAUCACCCAUAUUACAACUCCACAUAUUUCAACCAUAAUUCACCCAAUAAUUUCCACAAUUUCAAACAUAAUUUUACACCAAAUUAAUUUCCACAAACCAUCCCUCAAACACAUCAAAACAAUUUCCUCAACCACACUUAACUCACCUUAAAUUCAUUUUUCACAAAUCCACACAUAAAACACAUCUCAAAAAUUCAUAAUAUUAAUUAUGAACACAUAAGUCACACCAACAAUAAAUCGCCACAAACCACACCUCAAACACACAUCAAACAUUCAUAAUAUCAAUUAUGAACACAUAAUCAAAUUUAAUUUAAUUCUCCCCAAAUUCAACAUAAAUCACCCAUAUUCAAUCUCCAAAAUUUUCAAACAUUAAUCACCAAAUUUAAUCUCCACAAAUUUCAACCACAAAUCACCAAAUUCAAAACUCCACAUUUUCAAACAUAAACCACCAAAUUCAAUUUCCACAAACACUCAUAAAUCACAUUAAAAUUCAUCUUCCACAAAUACAUAUAUAGAGUCCUAUAUGCAAACUAGAAAUUUGAAAGGAGUCUUUACCUCCGUUGUAGCUUUAACAACCGAUUACGACACCACGAUUAAUUACAGUAAAAUCUUUGCUCGUGUAGCCGCUUCGAAAACUAGCUCACUAGCACCGUAGCGUGGCAAUGAGCAACUUUCCCUUCUGUCACUUCUCGGAAGGGAGCUUAGAUCUAGAAGAAAUGAUGGUUUAUGUUUGCGGGUUUUUGAAACCCACCAACACUGGUUUUUGAACCAGAGAAAGAAAGGAGAAGAAAGAAGUUUCGCGUGGCCUGGGUUUCAGCUUUUUCUC
rnacentral:lncRNA from 1 species